rnacentral:rRNA from 1 species
UUUGGUGGUUAAAGCGGGCAGGAUCACCUCUUACCAUUCCGAACAGAGAAGUUAAGCUGCCCAGCGCUGAUGGUACUGCCCUAUCUGGGUGGGAGAGUAGGUCGCCGCCAAUU